UACGGGGGGGAGCAAGCGUUGUUCGGAUUUACUGGGCGUAAAGGGCGCGUAGGCGGCCACCGCAAGUCGGUUGUGAAAUCUCUGGGCUUAACCCAGAAAGGUCAACCGAUACUGCGGGGCUAGAGUGCAGAAGGGGCAACUGGAAUUCUCGGGUGUAGCGGUGAAAUGCGUAGAUAUCGAGAGGAACACCUGCGGCGAAGGCGGGUUGCUGGGCUGACACUGACGCUGAAGCGCGAAAGCUAGGGGAGCGAACGGG
rnacentral:rRNA from 1 species